rnacentral:lncRNA from 1 species
AGACUGAGAAAAUACUGAACUACUUGGUCACUAGGAUUCUUCCUAGUUCCCAAACUCUAUGCUUCUAGUUCAGUUUGGAGAAAUGAGACUGUUCCCUUUAGAGGACAGAGAGCAAUGCCCCCUCUCUCUUGCAGCUCAUGGUAAGAUCUAAAGGUUAGUGAUGUCUCCACUCUGCAAUUUGUCUGAACCAGAAGAGUGGUCAAAAUAGCAAAGACCAGAUUUCAUGAUGGGGUUGAAGCUUUCCUUCUACUUAAGCCAAACAUAAUAUCUCACUUUCCCAUGUCAAAUUUAGAGCUUUUCUUCACAUUCUAAGAGAGAAGAAGGAGAGAUAUUUGCUAGGGGAAAAAGCCAAAAUGUUCAUGAAUAAUCUACUUCAUUCCAAUCAAUUAGGAAGAAAAACGCAGUCCGCAAAGCACAUUCUGAAUUGGUAUAGUUGAGAGACAUCUUGUAUCCAAGAAGUAUUUCUCUCAAGUUCUCCUAAUUACAGAUUCAGCAGCAGGUCUAUUGUGACUCCUGAUUUUAGAGUGCAUUCUACCUGACACGCAGUUUCUCUUACAGUAACCAGGUACCCAUUGUGCUGUGAUUGUGGUAGUAGCAUGUACUGGAGAAAUUUGAUGAUGUGUUGAAUGCUAGUCAUUUCCUCAGAAAAAUGGCCAGGCGUGGUUCCAUUUGCAGGGGUGGCUGUGUUUCAUCUCACAUCAUCCACUUACCCUGGCCGAAGCGAGUUGAACCAGAGUCACCACCAGACCCAAAGACAGCCAUGUAUAGGCCAGCAGCUCUGCCUAGUGGGAACCACAUUUAUCAAUGGUCCACCCAAU